rnacentral:rRNA from 1 species
CGAGACGACGCUGGCGGCGUGGAUUAGGCAUGCAAGUCGAACGGUAUCAUCCUUUCGGGGGUGAGAGAGUGGCGAACUGGUGAGUAACACGUAGGUUAUCUACCCUCAAGACGGGGACAACCCAGGGAAACUUGGGCUAAUACCGGAUGUGAGCAACUUUUAGUUGUUUGAAAGGUGGCGUAAGCUGUCGCUUGGGGAUGAGCCUGCGUCCUAUUAGUUAGUUGGUGAGGUAACGGCUCACCUAGGCAAUGAUAGGUAGGCGGCCUUAACGGGUGGUCGCCCACACUGGGAUUGAGAUACGGCCCAGACUCCUACGGGAGGCAGCAGUCGAGAAUAGUCUACAAUGGUCGGAAGACUGAUAGUGCGACGCCGCGUGAACGAUGAAUCCCUUCGGGGUGUAAAGUUCUUUUAUAUGUGAGCAGUGCUUCUUAUAUUAACAGUAUGGGGAGAGAGAUAUUAGCAUAUGAAUAAGCAACGGCUAACUCCGUG